GACGAACGCUGGCGGCGUGCUUAACACAUGCAAGUCGAGCGGUAAGGCCCUUCGGGUACGACGAGCGGCGAACGGGUGAGUAACACGUGGGUGACCUGCCCUUAGCUCUGGGAUAAGCCUGGGAAACUGGGUCUAAUACCGGAUAUGACCUCAUGACGCAUGUUGUGGGGUGGAAAGCCUUGUGCGGCUAGGGAUGGGCCCGCGGCCUAUCAGCUUGUUGGUGGGGUGAUGGCCUACCAAGGCGACGACGGGUAGCCGGCCUGAGGGGGCGACCGGCCACACUGGGACUGAGACACGGCCCAGACUCCUACGGGAGGCAGCAGUGGGGAAUCUUGGACAAUGGGCGCAAGCCUGAUCCAGCCACGCCGCGUGAGUGAUG
rnacentral:rRNA from 1 species